GCGACCCCAGGUCAGGCGGGAUUA
rnacentral:ncRNA from 46 species